CUCUUCCCUCUUGCUUUACAGUCCCAAGGCCAAAGCCUUUAUCCACAGCAACAAGGCAAGCUAAUGCAGGAAAUGUACAUACAAGAGCAACUUUCAUCAGUAAAGUGUUGUCCAAAAUUGGCGAAGUAUGGUUAGGAAAUGAGCAGAAAACAAAUAUCUCACUAUGUGACAGUCCUAGAACUACAGAGCCAGCAGUCAGUACUCAUCCUCUCCCUGCUGCUGAGUUGCCUGAUGCAUUUCUUGGGACACCUAUUACAAAACUUUCUCAAAAGUGUUCAAGGUUGCUGGAUUUGGUGGUUCGUCCUGUUCCUUCCCGCGCUGAGGCACAGGAGGGGAACUGGCAGUCCCCGUGCAGGGCUUCUACUUCUUCUGUGGCAUCCAGCCCCCUGAGAUCAAAUACACAUCGCUCCAGCUCCCAAAAGAAUCUGCGAAGGGCAUCAGAGUUGAAUUUACUGGAAACUCCUCUUGUGGUCAAGGUUUGUAUUUUAAGAAGUCAGUAGCAGCCAACCUAAUGAAAAAUGUAUGUGGUUUGUUUUAAGUGAAAUCGCCAAAGUAGAAAUGCUUCUGGAUUGAAAUUUUUAUUAUGCAUGUGGUUAUUGUAUACACAGCCCAUUUGGAAGUGGUAAGCUGGGAACAGUUUUUAAGCAGCAAACUUUUGUUCUCAGAUGAUUGCAGUGGAGAACUUGUCCCAUAGAUUUGUGUACUAAAUUUAUUUUCAUUGUAUGGAUCAAUUCCAUUUUUCUACCUCCUUCUUAUGGAGUACCAUCCAUACCAAUGAACUAGCUUCAUCCUCCUCUUUUGAAAACCUUUCAAUACUGUAAGAUAAUCUGAAAUAAGAACAGCUGAAUGCUUCUGCAUGAAGAUGUGUAGGUAUUUUUGCAGCCAUGUCACUUCCUUUUGUGUGCAACUGAUUAACUAGUGAAAAAAAAGCUGUGGCUGUUGUGUCGUUCCGAUUGGGAACGGCUAUAAAGAACGACAUAAACUCUCAAGGGAGUUU
rnacentral:lncRNA from 1 species